CUUACCAUGCAGUCGAACGAUGAUCUGCAUGCUUGCUGGGGGGAUUAGUGGCGAACGGGUGAGUAACACGUGAGUAACCUGCCCUUAACUCUGGGAUAAGCCUGGGAAACUGGGUCUAAUACCGGAUAUGACUCCUCAUCGCAUGGUGGGGGGUGGAAAGCUUUUUGUGGUUUUGGAUGGACUCGCGGCCUAUCAGCUUGUUGGUGAGGUAAUGGCUCACCAAGGCGACGACGGGUAGCCGGCCUGAGAGGGUGACCGGCCACACUGGGACUGAGACACGGCCCAGACUCCUACGGGAGGCAGCAGUGGGGAAUAUUGCACAAUGGGCGAAAGCCUGAUGCAGCGACGCCGCGUGAGGGAUGACGGCCUUCGGGUUGUAAACCUCUUUCAGUAGGGAAGAAGCGAAAGUGACGGUACCUGCAGAAGAAGCGCCGGCUAACUACGUGCCAGCAGCCGCGGUAAUACGUAGGGCGCAAGCGUUAUCCGGAAUUAUUGGGCGUAAAGAGCUCGUAGGCGGUUUGUCGCGUCUGCCGUGAAAGUCCGGGGCUCAACUCCGGAUCUGCGGUGGGUACGGGCAGACUAGAGUGAUGUAGGGGAGACUGGAAUUCCUGGUGUAGCGGUGAAAUGCGCAGAUAUCAGGAGGAACACCGAUGGCGAAGGCAGGUCUCUGGGCAUUAACUGACGCUGAGGAGCGAAAGCAUGGGGAGCGAACAGGAUA
rnacentral:rRNA from 1 species